rnacentral:rRNA from 1 species
UGAAUACGAGACGCUACGGCGUCGAAGCAGUCUAUGUCAUACUUCCAAGAAAAGCUCGCUAUGUCAUAAACCAAGAGUGCCUGCACCAUAACCGACACAGGUGGGUAGGUAGAGUAUACUAAGGGGCGCGAGAUAACUCUCUCUAAGGAACUCGGCAAAAUGACUCCGUAACUUCGGGAGAAGGAGUGCCUUAUUUCUAGGUUGCAAUAACAAGAUCCAAGCAACUGUUUAUCAAAAACACAGGUCUCCGCUAAGUCGUAAGACGAUGUAUGGGGGCUGACGCCUGCCCAGUGCCAGAAGGUUAAAGAAGUUGGUUAGCAUUCGCGAAGCUGAUAACUGAAGCCCUGGUGAACGGCGGCCGUAACGAUAACGGCCUAAGGUAGCGAAAUUCCUUGUCGGGUAAGUUCCGACCCGCACGAAAGGCGUAAUGAUUUGGAUACUGUCUCGGAGAGGGACUCGGUGAAAUAGACUUGUCUGUGAAGAUGCGGACUACCUGCACCUGGACAGAAAGACCCUAUGAAGCUUUACUGUAACUUGACAUUGAAAUUGGACUUUAUUUGCGCAGUAUAGGUGGGAGGCGUUGAGCAGAUUCUUGCGGGAAUCUGGGAGCCAUCAGUGAGAUACCACUCUUGUAAUGUUAGAUUUCUAACUUUGGAUCCUGAUCGGGACAAAGAACAGUGUCAGGCGAGCAGUUUGACUGGGGCGGUCGCCUCCCAAACGGUAACGGAGGCGUACAAAGGUUUCCUCUGAACGGGUAGAAAUCGUAUCUAGAGUGUAAAGGCAUAAGGAAGCUUGACUGUGAGACCUACAAGUCGAGCAGGGACGAAAGUCGGUCUUAGUGAUCUGACGGUGCUGAGUGGAAAGGCCGUCACUCAACGGAUAAAAGUUACUCUAGGAUAACAGGCUGAUCUCCCCCAAGAGUUCACAUCGACGGGGAGGUUUGGCACCUCGAUGUCGGCUCAUCGCAUCCUGGGGCGGUAGUACGUCCCAAGGGUUGGGCUGUUCGCCCAUGAAAGCGGUACGCGAGCUGGGUUCAGAACGUCGUGAGACAGUUCGGUCCAUAUCCGGUGUAGGCGUUAGAAUAUUGAGAGGAGCCUUCUUUAGUACGAGAGGACCGAGAAGGACAUACCUCUGGUGUACCAGUUAUCGUGCCAACGGUAAACGCUGGGUAGCUAUGUAUGGAGAGGAUAACCGCUGAAAGCAUCUAAGUGGGAAGCCCACCUCAAGAUAAG